rnacentral:rRNA from 1 species
GCAUAUCAAUAAGCGGAGGAAAAGAAACUAACAAGGAUUCCCCUAGUAACGGCGAGUGAAGCGGGAAGAGCUCAAAUUUGAAAUCUAGUAGCCUUCGGCUGCUCGAGUUGUAAUCUAGAGAAGUGUUUUCCGUGCCGGCCCAUGUACAAGUCCCUUGGAACAGGGCGUCAUAGAGGGUGAGAAUCCCGUCCUUGACAUGGACCCCCGGUGCUCUGUGAUACACUUUCAACGAGUCGAGUUGUUUGGGAAUGCAGCUCAAAAUGGGUGGUGAAUUCCAUCUAAAGCUAAAUAUUGGCGAGAGACCGAUAGCGAACAAGUACCGUGAGGGAAAGAUGAAAAGCACUUUGGAAAGAGAGUUAAACAGUACGUGAAAUUGUUGAAAGGGAAACGAUUGAAGUCAGUCAUGCUCUUUGGUAUUUAUAUCAUUGAGUGGGGUCAACAUCAGUUUUGAGCGAUGGAUAAAGGCACUAGGAAGGUAGCACUCUCGGGUGAACUUAUAGCCUAGCGUCAUAUACAUUGUUUGGGACUGAGGAACGCAGCAUGCCUUUAUGGCCGGGAUUCGUCCACGUACAUGCU